rnacentral:rRNA from 1 species
AAUGAACGCUGGCGGCGCGCCUAAUACAUGCAAGUCGAGCGAGAAGACGUAGCAAUACGUUUGUAAAGCGGCGAACGGGUGAGGAAUACAUGGGUAACCUACCCUCGAGUGGGGAAUAACUAGCCGAAAGGUUAGCUAAUACCGCGUACGCUCCUUGGACUUCGGUUCAGGGAGGAAAGCGAUGCCGAGGGUAUCGCGCUCUUGGAUGGGCUCAUGUCCUAUCAGCUUGUUGGUGAGGUGACGGCUCACCAAGGCUUCGACGGGUAGCUGGUCUGAGAGGACGAUCAGCCACACUGGCACUGCGACACGGGCCAGACUCCUACGGGAGGCAGCAGUAAGGAAUAUUGCGCAAUGGGCGAAAGCCUAACGCAGCGACGCCGCGUGGGGGAUGAAGGUCUUCGGAUUGUAAACCCC